GGGACCUGAAGCAGGACGGCACUGCACCGGGACUGGGCGGGGCUCGCCGUUCACGCGGGCGCGGCCAAGCCCGGACCAGCGUCGGGACCUUCCUGUGGAAAGCCUCAGCUGCGCGGCGUCUGAGGGCUUCGUGCCCAAAGUGCUAUGCUUCGGCCGGCAAAAAACAGUCAACUCAGAACUGGCACGGACCGGGGGAAUCCGACUGUCUAAUUAAAACAAAGCAUUGCGAUGGCCGCUGGUCGGUGUUGACGCAAUGUGAUUUCUGCCCAGUGCUCUGAAUGUCAACGUGAAGAGAUUCAUCAAAGCGCGGGUAAACGGCGGGAGUAACUAUGACUCUCUUCUUUAUUGUCAUCAGUAGCCCCAGUGCUACUCGAUUGUUCAAUAAAGUAAUGUCUCGACGGCUCCUCGCCGCGGUAGACCUUGAUCACCGGCAGAGGGCUUUCAUUCCUGUCGACGGCUGUGCGGAAAAUGUAGCCAUUCUGGCUACCGCAUUAGAUGAGGCUAAGACCUCGAGGAAACCCCUGUUCCUUGCCAGUGUGGACCUCACCAAGGCGUUCGAUCGGGUUUCCACGGAGGCCAUCCUACGGGGGGCAGCCCGUGCCGGUCUCUCGGCACCGUUUCUGGAGUACCUGCAGAGUCUGUAUGGAACCUCGGAGACGGUGCUCGGGUAUGGAGGGAAAACGCUCUUGGUGAGGCCCACUACUGGGGUGAGACAGGGAGAUCCUCUUUCACCUGUACUGUUUAACCUCGUGCUGGACGAGUGGCUCAGCGACCUCGACCCCGAGAUAGGGUUCACUAGUGGGGAAUUUAAAGUCGACGCCAUGGCUUUUGCCGACGACCUGGUCGUAAUGGCGUCGACUCCGCGGGGACUCCAGGAAAGACUUGAUGACCUCGCGGCCUUCUUGGGCCCACGAGGUU
rnacentral:ncRNA from 1 species